GUCUAUGGCAUAUUUUUUGUACCAAGGAGAGUAGAAAAAAUGCUAUUAAGGGAUCAUUGCUAAUCAUUGAAGGGGAAAUCUGUCUUGUUGGACUAGAGACUCUUAACACAAGAGAGGGGAAUUUUCAAUCCACCAAUUCACAAAGCUCGAGAGGUUAAAGUUAUUACUCACGUGGUAGAGGGAAACCUGCUAGAGGAAGAGGUAGAGGCAGCUCCAACUUCAAAACUGGAACCAGACCAUCUUAUUAACUUUGCAAUAAGUAUGGACAUACAGUGGUGGAUUGCUGGCACAUGUUUGAUUAAAAUUUUGAGUAUACACUACCAAAAGCUCAAGCUAAAAGCUCUACACCCACCAACAACAAUUAAGCUCAAGAAAGACAACAAGAAUCAAAACACGUCUACUUCUGCCAAUGCCUAUCUAACUCAUCAUGAUCAACUACAACUACCUCAGGGAUUAAAAUCUCAGGCAUCGUUUGCAAACUCAGGUGCCUCUCACCAUAUCACUUUUAACUCUUCUAAUUUGCAAUAUAUUAAAUCAUGUGUUGGCCGAAAUAAAGUAGUUGUUGGAAAUGGACAUAGCUUGAAAGUUCAAGUAAUAGGAAAUACAAAAUUUCAUUCCUUUCUUGUGUCUAACAUCUACCUGCAUUUAGCUGAUCUUUUACAUGUGCCCAAGAUAACUAGAAAUCUCAUUUUAGUUUCAAAAUUUUCCAAAGAUAACAAUGUCUAUUUUUAGUUUUAUCCUAAUAAAUGCUUUUUGAAAUCUCGGGCAUCUAGCCAAGUUCUGCUUGAAGGGGUCUUUGAUGAAAGUGGGCUAUAUCGCUUCAACACUCUAAAAGUAGAUUCCUCAAGGUGUAACUUGCAACACAAGACAUAUGAUGUAGAACCAAUAGCUAAUAAUGUAGUAGUUUCCAAAAAUUCCCUUACUACUAAUAAACAUAAUAGUGCUAGCUUAGAUAAAAUUUCCCUAUGGCAUGCUAGAUUGGGGCAUGCUCAUCCCAAAUCCAUUCAUAAAGUUGUAAGUUGGUGUAACUUGCAUUUUAAGAAUAAAGAAACACUUGAUUUCUAUUAA